UACGUAGGCAGCAAGCGUUGUUCGGAGUUACUGGGCGUAAAGGGUGUGUAGGCGGUUCUUUUAAGUUUGCUGUGAAAUCUCCCGGCUUAACCGGGAGGGUGCGGUGAAUACUGAGGGACUAGAGUACGGGAGAGGAAAGUGGAAUUCCUGGUGUAGCGGUGAAAUGCGUAGAUAUCAGGAGGAACACCGGUGGUGUAGACGGCUUUCUGGACCGACACUGGCGCUGAGACACGAAAGCGUGGGUAGCAAACAGG
rnacentral:rRNA from 1 species